UCGGGAUGACUCAGCCGAAUUCAAUCGAAACUAUCUUGACCAUUUUGUUGUCCCAAAUUUUGUUGAUUUUCAUCCAAUGUCGACUCAGUCAAAUUCAGAUAAUUUCAAUUGAGACCAACUCGACUAAGUUUUGGUCAUGGCUAUCCAAAUUGAAUUUGGUCGAUUUUCGGUCAUGGCUAACCCAGCUAAUUUAUUGUUAGGACUUAAUCAAGCAAAUUUUGACUGUGACUGUUCCAACCAAAUUUUCUGACUUUUGAUCGGGAUCAACUC
rnacentral:lncRNA from 1 species